rnacentral:rRNA from 1 species
UAAUACGUAGGGGGCGAGCGUUGUCCGGAAUUACUGGGCGUAAAGGGUGCGUAGGUGGCGAAUUAAGUUGGAUGUGAAAUACCCGGGCUUAACUUGGGGGGUGCAUCCAAUACUGGUUAGCUAGAGUGCAGGAGAGGGAAGCGGAAUUCCUAGUGUAGCGGUGAAAUGCGUAGAUAUUAGGAGGAACACCAGUGGCGAAGGCGGCUUUCUGGACUGUAACUGACACUGAGGCACGAAAGCGUGGGGAGCAAACAGG